rnacentral:rRNA from 1 species
UACGUAGGGUGCGAGCGUUAAUCGGAAUUACUGGGCGUAAAGCGUGCGCAGGCGGUGCUGUAAGACCGAUGUGAAAUCCCCGGGCUUAACCUGGGAACUGCAUUGGUGACUGCAGCGCUGGAGUAUGGCAGAGGGGGGGUGGAAUUCCACGUGUAGCAGUGAAAUGCGUAGAGAUGUGGAGGAACACCGAUGGCGAAGGCAGCCCCCUGGGCCAAUACCGACGCCUCAUGCACGAAAGCAUGGGGGAGCGAACA